rnacentral:lncRNA from 1 species
UCGAAGAAGUUUCCGACGUUCAGGUCGGAUGCAACUUGUGGCAUUCAGGCCAGUCUUCCGGUAUCCAGACCGAAGUGGCAUUCAGGCCAGUUUUCCGGUAUCCAGACCGAAGUGGCAUUCAGGCCAGUUUUCGGUAUCCAGACCGAAGUGGCAUUCAGGUCAGUCUUCCGUAUCCAGACGACAAGUGGCAUUAGGCCAGUUUUCCGGUAUUCAGAUCGAAGUGGCAUUCAGGCCAGUUUUCCGAUGAUCAGAUCGAAGAAGUUUCCGACGUUCAGGUCGAUGCA